UGGGGAAUAUUGCACAAUGGGGGAAACCCUGAUGCAGCGACGCCGCGUGAACGAAGAAGGUAUUCGUAUCGUAAAGUUCUGUCCUAUGGGAAGAUAAUGACAGUACCAUAGAAGAAAGCUCCGGCUAAAUACGUGCCAGCAGCCGCGGUAAUACGUAUGGAGCGAGCGUUGUCCGGAAUUAUUGGGCGUAAAGGGUACGCAGGCGGUUUAAUAAGUCGAAUGUUAAAGAUCGGGGCUCAACCCCGCAAAGCAUUGGAAACUGAUAAGCUUGAGUAGUGGAGAGGAAAGUGGAAUUCCUAGUGUAGUGGUGAAAUACGUAGAUAUUAGGAGGAAUACCAGUAGCGAAGGCGACUUUCUGGACGCAAACUGACGCUGAGGUACGAAAGCGUGGGGAGCAAACAGG
rnacentral:rRNA from 1 species